UAUAAUGGGCAAAUCUCCAAAAUAGCACAUUUCUAAGUUUAUAUCACAAAAAUAGCACUCAAAAACUAAAAUGACCAAAAUAACACAUUUUUAAGUUUAUCCUUUGAAAAUUUUAAUUUUUUUAUUUUUCAAAAUUUGAAAUCUUAUCCCUAAAACCUCAUUUCUCAACUCUAAACCCUAAACCCUAAACUCUAAACCUUAAACCGUAAACUCUAAACCAUAAACCGUAAACUCUAAACCCUAAACCCUAAACCCUAAACCCUAAACCCUAAACCCUAAACCCUAAACUCUAAACCCUAAACCCUAAGUUUGUGACUUUUGAUAAAACAUUAAGUGCUAUU
rnacentral:lncRNA from 1 species